rnacentral:rRNA from 1 species
GGAUCAUGGAGAAGUCUGAUGGAGCACGCCGCGUGAGUGAAAAGGUUUUCGGAUCGUAAAGCUCUGUUGUUGGUGAAGAAGGAUAGAGGUAGUAACUGGCCUUUAUUUGACGGUAAUCAACCAGAAAGUCACGGCUAACUACGUGCCAGCAGCCGCGGUAAUACGUAAGUGGCAAGCGUUGUCCGGAUUUAUUGGGCGUAAAGCGAGCGCAGGCGGAAGAAUAAGUCUGAUGUGAAAGCCCUCGGCUUAACCGAGGAACUGCAUCGGAAACUGUUUUUCUUGAGUGCAAAACAGGAGAGUGGAACUCCAUGUGUAGCGGUGGAAUGCGUAGAUAUAUGGAAGAACACCAGUGGCGAAGGCGGCUCUCUGGUCUGCAACUGACGCUGAAGCUCGAAAGCAUGGGUAGCGAACAGGAUUAGAUACCCCCAUAGUCCA